UACAGAGGGUGCGAGCGUUGUCCGGAAUCACUGGGCGUAAAGGGCGCGUAGGCGGUCUGGUAAGCGUGUGGUGAAAGCCCGGGGCUCAACCCCGGGUCGGCCGUGCGAACUGCUGGACUGGAGCAUGUCAGAGGCAGGCGGAAUUCCGGGUGUAGCGGUGGAAUGCGUAGAGAUCCGGAAGAACACCGGUGGCGAAGGCGGCCUGCUGGGACAUGGCUGACGCUGAGGCGCGACAGCGUGGGGAGCAAACAGG
rnacentral:rRNA from 1 species